rnacentral:rRNA from 1 species
CGCGGCCUAUCAGCUUGUUGGUGAGGUAACGGCUCACCAAGGCAUCGACGGGUAGCUGGUCUGAGAGGACGAUCAGCCACACUGGGACUGAGACACGGCCCAGACUCCUACGGGAGGCAGCAGUAGGGAAUCUUGCGCAAUGGGCGAAAGCCUGACGCAGCAACGCCGCGUGGGGGAUGAAUGCCUUCGGGUUGUAAACCCCUUUCAGCAGGGACGAAAAUGACGGUACCUGCAGAAGAAGCUCCGGCCAACUACGUGCCAGCAGCCGCGGUAAUACGUAGGGAGCGAGCGUUGUCCGGAAUUAUUGGGCGUAAAGAGCACGUAGGCGGUUCAGUAAGUCGGGUGUGAAAACUCAAGGCUCAACCUUGAGACGCCACUCGAUACUGCUGUGACUUGAGUCCGGUAGAGGAGUGUGGAAUUCCUGGUGUAGCGGUGAAAUGCGCAGAUAUCAGGAGGAACACCAGCGGCGAAGGCGGCACUCUGGGCCGGUACUGACGCUGAGGAGCGAAAGCAUGGGGAGCAAACAGGAUUAGAUACCCUGGUAGUCCAUGCCGUAAACGUUGGGCACUAGGUAUGGGAUCAUAUCAACGGAUUCCGUGCCGUAGCUAACGCAUUAAGUGCCCCGCCUGGGG